rnacentral:rRNA from 1 species
CCUACGGGAGGCAGCAGUGAGGAAUAUUGGUCAAUGGACGAGAGUCUGAACCAGCCAAGUAGCGUGAAGGAUGACUGCUCUAUGGGUUGUAAACUUCUUUUAUAAAGGAAUAAAACGAGGCACGUGUGCCUUUUUGCAUGUCCUUUAUGAAUAAGGAUCGCCUAACUACGGGCCAGCAGCCGCGGUAAUACGGAGGAUCCGAGCGUUAUCCGGAUUUAUUGGGUUUAAAGGGAGCGUAGAUGGGUUGUUAAGUUAGUUGUGAAAGUUUGCGGCUCAACCGUAAAAUUGCAAUUGAUACUGGCAGUCUUGAGUACAGUUGAGGUAAGCGGAAUUCGUGGUGUAGCGGUGAAAUGCGUAGAUAUCAGGAAGAACCCCGAUUGCGAAGGCAGCUUACUAAACUGUGACUGACAUUGAUGCUCGAAAGUGUGGGGAUCAAACAGGAUUAGAUACCCUGGUAGUC